UGUGAUUGUGACGGGGUCACGGAAAUCAUUUAACUUUAAACAUGUGUAUUGUGUAGUCCACAAUUAAUUAAAAGCACUGAUAUUAUUCAAUUUUUAUUAAAACAUUGCCCAUAAUACAGUUACGCGAAGCGAACAAUGAAACGUAAAAAACAGUCAUCAUGACGGCGGGAGAUUCAAUUGUUUUGGCUCACGGUGUCUUGUAUUGAUUGCCCGUCAUGUGAAUAAAAAUAUUAGGUACAACUAAAAGGAUAAAUUUGUUGUGAAUCUUGACUAAAAUGGUGAUUAAAACGAAGCAAUUUGGAAGAAACUUCAGAGAGGUUGCGCCUACCCACUUAAGCGGCCCCAGCUGGAAAGACUUUAGCGUCACCCAACCCAAGCAGGCGGAUAAACGGCCUAAGAGACUAGAGGUGGUGGUGCGCGAGGCGGAGGAGGAGCGCGUGGACGUGAUCGACCUCGGCGCGCCGCGG